GACGAACGCUGGCGGCGUGCUUAACACAUGCAAGUCGAACGGAAAGGCCCUGCUUUUGUGGGGUGCCCGAGUGGCGAAGGGGUGAGUAACACGUGAGUAACCUGCCCUUGACUUUGGGAUAACUUCAGGAAACUGGGGCUAAUACCGGACAGGAGCCCCCGCUGCAUGGAGGGGGUUGGAAAGUUUCGGCGGUCGGGGAUGGACUCGCGGCUUACCAGCUUGUUGGUGGGGUAGUGGCUUACCAAGGCUUUGACGGGUAGCCGGCCUGAGAGGGUGACCGGGCACAUUGGGACUGAGAUACGGACCAGACUCCUACGGGAGGCAGCAGUGGGGAAUAUUGCACAAUGGGCGGAAGCCUGAUGCAGCAACGCCGCGUGCGGGAUGACGGCCUUCGGGUUGUAAACCGCUUUCGCCUGUGACGAAGCGUGAGUGACGGUAAUGAGUAAAGAAGCACCGGCUAACUACGUG
rnacentral:rRNA from 1 species